GCUCUAAUCAAUAAUGAACCAUAGCACACCAAAGCAUUAAUGUCAAAUGCAAAUAAUGAAUGAAAUGCAGUUAUUUAAGGCUGUUAUCAAUGAGGAGUGGACAGCACCCCAGAGAUGAUAACCAAGAGACUCCUUUCACUGUGCUCUAGGCCUCUACUCAAAUGUGGCCCAACUCCUGACCAGCACUACCCAACAGUUCAAAGGAAUGCAUAACCAUUGGUUUCAACACAAACCCACUGGAUUCAAGUCUGAAUUUUGACUUAAUAAGGUAGUCCUGGAAGUUGCCAUGUGUAACAGGCGGUCACGAACUCAGAGACACGGGAUACCUCCACUUCCUUCUAAUGAUUGGGAUUAGAGGCAUGCACCACCGUGCCUGCCUGGUGGGUUUGUUCUUCUGAGACACAGAAUCACUAUGUAGCCCAGACUGCACUUAAAUUCAAAAUACUCCUGCCUCAGUCCUCUAAGCGAUAGAACUAUAGGUGUGUACCACCACAACCAGCUCAAAAAUCUCUAUAUGGUGGAAGCAGAUCUAGAGGAAAAGAAAUGUAUGUAAGCAAUUAAGUAAAUAAAUGUUCACACUAGGCAGGACAAAGUGGAAUGGUACCACAUAAGAGAUCAACUUUGCCUAUGCGACUUAAAGACAAGGGAGAGGAGGUCACGGCAGACAGGUUCAGAGAAAACAUAGAGCAUGGGACACCACACUGAGUAUUGUAGGUUCAAAGAGUUCGGUUCCUCUUAGCUUAGUGAAGAUAAAGGUAAAUAGCAGAAAGUAACAAUCAUGCAAAAAAUCAGCUUCCCAGAGUCUUAAACACUGCACUUAAGGAACUGCACUUUAUUCUGUCCAGUCAACUCUGAAACGUUUGUAGGUAGGAAGAGCCACUUAGACUCUCCAACUAUCUGCAGGCAUUGUAACAAAUUAUGAAAAAGGAGAAUUUUUUAUUUAUUUAUUUAUUUAUUUUGCCUUUCCAGAUACUGUUUAUACUGCUUCAGUUCAACAUACAUACUCACAGUUACCAACAAUAGUUACAGGUGAAGAAUUUGAAUUUUUAAUUCUAAUAUCCCCCAAAUCAUUGCUGCAAUCCUGACUAUCAGGAGUGGUAGCCACAUCUUGAUGUUAUAUUACUUUCAGUGUUGUCUUUUUAGUUUUCUCAUACCUAAUUAACUAAUUAUCCAUAUAAAGUUCUCAGUGUGGGAAUAUCUAGUGCACUGUUGACUUCAGUAACUGUCAAAAUCAAAUGGGAGAGAAGGAGGAACUGAGGGAAUAAGGAAGUCCUUACAAGAGACAAAGAGAAUGUGACUAAGGUUUGGGAAAAAGCAGUAGAGAUGGAGCACACUUAGCUGGUCUAACUGGCACAGCUGCCCUCACAGGCAAUUAGCAGGAAUGUAGAAAAGGUACAGCUGCUAUCAACAGUGACUUGGCUGGUCCUCAAAAAGUUAAACCUGGCCAAUCUCAAAGGAACUAAAAGAGUCACACAAAAAAUCUGAACAUAAAAUGCACAACAAAAUUAUCAAUCAAAAGAGUCCUAAAGAAGAACCCAAAUGUCGUUAACUGAUGAAUGGAUGAACAAAAUAUGGAAUGUCUACAAGAAAGAAUUACCUUCCCAUAAAAAGGAAUAAAGUGCUAAUAUUGUAACAAGGACAAACCCUAGAAAUAAAAAUCAGACACAAGACCAAGCAGCAGUGGCGCACACCUUUAAUUCCAGCAGUUGAAAGGCAGAAUUCAAGGCCAGUCAGUUUACAAAGCAAGUUCCAAGACAGGCAGAGCUACAAAGAGAAACCCUGUCAGGAGACUAAAUAAAUAUCAAACACAAAAGCUACACUGGAUGAUACAUGAUUCCCUUAAAUGACAUAUUAAGACUAUGCACAUGCAAGCAGACAGUAGUUAGUGGCUGCCAGGGGUUGGAAGGAGAUGGGCCUGGGCAGUGACCACUAAUGUGUGUGGGGCUCCUUUCUGGUAUGACGAAAAUAUCCUCGAACCAGAUAGCAAUGAUGGUUGUAACCCUAAGAAAGAACUAGCCAUCACUGGCUGUACACCUUAAAAUGUUAUUUUGUUCUAUGUGAUCUUCAGCUCAAUAUUUUAAAGACAAACAGAGUUGAAGUGUAGAGAAGAUGAGUGUAAUUUUAAUUCCCAACCCAAUUCCUAACAUCCUGUUAUGCAGGUCUUGGUACUCAGAACAGAAAUCUAAGCAAGAGACAAGCCUGGAGUCUUCAGCUAUUGACAGCUAUAGAAUUUCCCUUCCUUGUGGUAUGGACUUGUCAACACUUCAUCUCCCAUCUGUUCCAAGCCAUUGUGCUUCAGUGAGAAAAAACAGAUAUAAUCAUACACAGGACAAAUAUUCAGGUGAGGAUUCAAAACAACAAAAAUCCUUUCAUAAAAUGAAAAGGGUUAUACAAAUCCAUUAUAAUUCUUUUAUAGAGUACACCAAGUGUUCUACUAGUGACCACAACAAAACACUGGCUUUUAGUGACUGCCCAGAAGCACACCUUGUGCCUUAUACAGUCACUAGACACCUGUACUCAGAAUGGGCUUUGCAGUUCUAGUUACCAUAUCAAAACACAACAGGUCUGGACAAGACCCAGGAAAAACAAGCUAAAACUGACAGUUCAAGAUUUCUAUUUUGAUUGGUGAACAGGAAUAUUAAAGACCUUGUUCUCAUGAUAAAAUGUAAGAUCAUAAAAUUCUUUUAAAGUAGGAAUAAAGAAAACAAAAACUUAUUUUCCAAAUUCUAAGUUCUUGGAAUUACAAUAACACUUUACAUUAGAGAAAAUAAAAUGUGCACUACUCCUUAAGAGACAAAACUACCAUUAGUUCAAAAAUCUGAAUAAACUCAAAUAUUAUCAGAAUUUUGAAAAUAAGGAUACUAAAAGGCACAUAUUAAGCACAAGCAAGCAAAUUCAGGUUGUAAUGCAGCUUUUAGUCCCUUCUUCCAAAAGCUCCAUCCAACACCAACCAGUGUUCACAAAGAAAGCAUUCUGUGCUCUCCUACACUGCCUUCUUCCUCUUAGAUAUUAAUUACAUAUUAAGACUUCCAAGUAAAGUUGGUAGAUUUAUAAACUGAUAUAAUCACAGGUUGCAUCUAAGGGUUAAAGAUACAAAACUCAACCUUGAGUUUUCAUUGUUAUUUAUUACACAAGCACACAAGCAGGUAAGUUACCAGUAGAGGGCGCUCAAAAGGGGAGCCGAGCUGGCCACAGCUUUAGAGGAAAGUUUUCAAACAAAACUGUUUUUAAAAUAAGACUUUUCAAGUCAAAAAGUUUUAAUACAACUUAAGAGUAAGAUAACAUAAUGCACAGUAACAUAACAAAUAUAUGUCAUAUUUGAAAAUCAAAAUAAAAGUUAUCACUGGGACAUAAAUUUGAUAAUCUGAGCAAUGGUUAAAACUAUGUGUAGCACAAAAGGCUUUUUAACUCAGAAAUGCUGAUAUUCUGGGCUGGUUCUUUCUUUGCUUUUUCUAGUUGAGUCGUGUGAGGACUUCAUAAGAGAUUGUAAUAACCAUGUCCCACUAACAAGUUCAUUGAAAAACUAGUGUACUUCCUAAAAGAUAAAAAAUUUCAGAACGGAAGUCAAGGUGAUUGGCAUAUAUACUAUCUCCAAUAUUAACAUGUUCUAUGGUAGUUUUCUAUUAUGUAUUUGCCAUCAAGCAAACAUAAAUUCAAGUUACAGUAUAUAUACUGAUGCACAGACUAGAAGAUUACUAAAUAUGUUCCUAGUUUGAAAGACAGCUACUUUUUCACUUACCAUAGUGGAAAUAUCACUUGAUUCACAAAGUUUAUUCACUCUCUAGCUGGCUAAAUAUCUUUAAGCAAGUUAGAACAUAAAACACCUCACAAGUUUAUAGAUAAAAAUGACUGCUCUCCUUCACCUCCUAGGAUAUUUUACAAAUCUGAAAUCACUAAAAAAAAAAACGUCAUGAUACUAUCACUAACAUUUUUAAAAAGCUUCCUGCCAUUUUUUUAAUGUAAAGAAACUAAUGGAAUUCCAAAGUACAAGCACGUCACCAAUGGGCUGCAUCCAGAGCCCCUCCUUUGUUUUUCACUUUAAGACAGGGUCUCACUAAGUUGUACAGGCUGUCCUUGCACCUGCUCUAUAACCCAGGCAGGUCUUAAACUGGAAAUCCUUCUGCCUCCCAGUAUCGAAUAGCAUCUGCCCCCAGAGCCAGCUUCCAUGCUCUCAUUUUCUCUGACAUUUUUUAUCAAUUGAAACUUUCUGUACUUGCGGGAGUUGGCAUUUUUUAGUGAAUCAAAUCUCUUUCACUCCUUUGCCCUUCUUAUAGGUAAACCACACCAGGAAAGGGCCAUGUCAGUUUCCUCAGACUCGCCAUAGAUUGUGAGAUAAGGUAUAGACUUUUCUCCAGCUGCUAAACUACCUGGAGGAAUGUCAGGGUCAAAGUUCACAGGUUAUCAGUGCUCCCCAGAGUCAAGUCUUCUGGCAUGGCAGAAAUCAUAAUCAGGGUUAGAAAUUUAAAUUUACAACCUUUUUCUACCUUCUUCAUACACAAUGAACUGUUAAAUGUAUAUUACAUUUUAGCAAAUGUGAACUAAAGGUGUCCUAAGCUCUAUUUACCAUGCCCUACAGUUAGUUCUGACAUCAUGCUGUAUACAUUCAGGAUGCUUUCUGACCUAACAGGAGAAAGCACAACGGAACCCCUCAGAUUUUCAAAGAAAAUGUUGGUUACUUCUGCUGAAAGCAUUUUCCAAAUCCCAGGAAAACUGUCACAUUUCACAUGUAUUCUAUUAAAACUUCCUUUUACAUGUGAUUUAAAUGAUAGAACAUGCCAAGUAAUCUUGCAUUUAGAAUACCAGUCAAAAUGAACUUUUUGAUUUUUCUUGAAGAAAAAAGCAGAACUACAUUAUAGCACUGAACUGACCUGUCAAAAAUAAAUGUAUGAAGAAUAGUACUCAGGAGCUCUACUUCACAGAAAUAACUUUUUAAAUUUGGAAAUCAAAUAAAAGUCAUUUUUAUAUUUAA